rnacentral:rRNA from 1 species
CUGAGUAUAAGCAUUAUACAGCGAAACUGCGAAUGGCUCAUUAUAUAAGUUAUCGUUUAUUUGAUAGUACCUUACUACUUGGAUAACCGUGGUAAUUCUAGAGCUAAUACAUGCUGAAAAUCCCGACUUCGGAAGGGAUGUAUUUAUUAGAUUAAAAACCAAUGCCCUUCUGGGCUCUCUGGUGAUUCAUGAUAACUUCUCGAAUCGCACGGCCUCGCGCCGGCGAUGGUUCAUUCAAAUUUCUUCCCUAUCAACUUUCGAUGUUUGGGUAGUGGCCAAACAUGGUUGCAACGGGUAACGGAGGGUUAGGGCUCGACCCCGGAGAAGGAGCCUGAGAAACGGCUACUACAUCCAAGGAAGGCAGCAGGCGCGCAAAUUACCCAAUCCCGACACGGGGAGGUAGUGACAAUAAAUACUGAUACAGGGCUCUUUCGGGUCUUGUAAUUGGAAUGAGUACAAUUUAAAUCCCUUAACGAGGAACAAUUGGAGGGCAAGUCUGGUGAACGCAGCCGCGGUAAUUCCAGCUCCAAUAGCGUAUAUUAAAGUUGUUGUGGUUAAAAAGCUCGUAGUUGAACCUUGGGCCUGGCUGGCCGGUCCGCCUCACCGCGUGUACUGGUCCGGCCGGGCCUUUCCCUCUGUGGAACCCCAUGCCCUUCACUGGGCGUGGCGGGGAAACAGGACGUUUACUUUGAAAAAAUUAGAGUGCUCCAGGCAGGCCUAUGCUCGAAUACAUUAGCAUGGAAUAAUGAAAUAGGACGCGCGGUUCUAUUUUGUUGGUUUCUAGGACCGCCAUAAUGAUUAAUAGGGACAGUCGGGGGCAUCAGUAUUCAAUUGUCAGAGGUGAAAUUCUUGGAUUUAUUGAAGACUAACUACUGCGAAAGCAUUUGCCAAGGAUGUUUUCAUUAAUCAGGAACGAAAGUUAGGGGAUCGAAGACGAUCAGAUACCGUCGUAGUCUUAACCAUAAACUAUGCCGACUAGGGAUCGGACGAUGUUAUUUUUUGACUCGUUCGGCACCUUACGAGAAAUCAAAGUGCUUGGGCUCCAGGGGGAGUAUGGUCGCAAGGCUGAAACUUAAAGG